rnacentral:rRNA from 1 species
UACGUAGGGUGCGAGCGUUAAUCGGAAUUACUGGGCGUAAAGCGUGCGCAGGCGGUUUUGUAAGCCAGAUGUGAAAUCCCCGGGCUUAACCUGGGAAUGGCAUUUGGGACUGCAAGGCUCGAGUGCGGCAGAGGAGACUGGAAUUCCUGGUGUAGCAGUGAAAUGCGUAGAUAUCGGGAAGAACACCAGUGGCGAAGGCGGCUGCCUGGCCUGUAACUGACGCUGAGACGCGAAAGCGUGGGGAGCGAACCGG